GUAGGUGGCAAGCGUUGUCCGGAAUUAUUGGGCGUAAAGCGCGCGCAGGUGGUUCUUUAAGUCUGAUGUGAAAGCCCCCGGCUCAACCGGGGAGGGUCAUUGGAAACUGGGGAACUUGUGUGCAGGAGAGGAAAGUGGAAUUCCACGUGUAGCGGUGAAAUGCGUAGAUAUGUGGAGGAACACCAGUGGCGAAGGCGACUUUCUGGCCUGUAACUGACACUGAGGCGCGAAAGCGUGGGGAGCAAACAGGGAUUAGAUACCCUGGUAGUCCACGCCGUAAACGAUGAGUGCUAAGUGUUGGGGGGGUUUCCCGCCCCUCAGUGCUGCAGCUAACGCAUUAAGCACUCCGCCUGGGGAUACGGUCGCAAGACUG
rnacentral:rRNA from 1 species